rnacentral:misc_RNA from 1 species
GAUGAAGAACAUAGCGAAUUGCGAUAAGUAAUGUGAAUUGCAGAAUUCAGUGAAUCAUCGAAUCUUUGAACGCAUCUUGCGCUCUUUGGUAUUCCGAAGAGCAUGCCUGUUUGAGUGUCAUGAAACUCUCACCUCCAAUCUUUUUUAACUAGAAGGUUGGGGCGUGGACGUGAGUGCUGCUGGUGCCCUGGUUGCAUCGGCUCACUUGAAAUUCAUUAGCUGAAUCCUUUAAAGUAGGUUCUACUCGACGUGAUAAGAUCUCCGUCGAGGACAGUGCUUCGGCAUUGGCCAACGAUAAAGUUGAUACGCUUCUAAUUAGCGCAGACUUCGAGUGCUGGCAAUUUUGACAACUUGGCCUCAAAUCAGGUAGGACUACCCACUGAACUUAAGCAUAUCAAUAAGCGGAGGA